ensembl:lncRNA
AGGUUUUUGGUGUUCUAUCUCUCCUUCAGCUAUCAUUUUCCUGAAGACCAGACUCUACUGUGAGAAGCUGUUGCUCUCAUUUAUUCAUUCAUGAAAAACCCCAGGCUUCCCAAAAAUUACACAAGCAACCAAGCAAAAAAAAGAAAAAAAAGAAAAAAAGCGCUAGGUCAUAUUGCUGGAGGCUUCUACAGGCUUUUGAAACCUUGGUUUCCCACAGCAAGAAGUCUCAGAGGCCUUUUCUGGUGCAUUUCCAAAGCAGAUGCUUGGUGAACAAGAAAUUGCAGCGGGGGAUGUCUCUUUGCUUCUCUCAGCUACUGAAGAAGAAAGAGCAGACACAGUGGUUCAUAGCCCGGCUCUUUGUCAAGAGGUCCGUUCUGAAUGUCUUUAGGGUCUGCUUAGCUGCUUCUCGGGCAUCAUCUCCUGAUCAUCUCUCAUCAAAGGCACAAUGAAGAGACCUUUUAAAGAGGACAAUGGAGAGAGGAUAGUUUUUCCAGUGCUCAUUUGAUUGGACAUUUUUCAAAAACACUGUUGUGUAACAAGCAAAAAGUGGAGGGAAACACUGAAACUCCAGCUGCUAUGGAAUGCAAGGAAAAAAGCUCACCUGCAACACCUGGAUAAAAAAAAAAGAUAAACCUGAUUUACAGUAUCUGAUUUUAAAGCUGUAAAUCAGUUUUAACUAGGUGUUUCAGGUGAGCUUUUUCCUGUAUUUGGGAUGCCUAGACGGAGACAGCAGGAACCUCUGGGAGCAGCAGUUUUCAGCCUGUAUCACUCAGUGGUCCUAGCUAGAGGGACCAUUUUGUUUGUACUUUGCACUUAGAUGCUACAAUUUAGACUUACUGUGUUGGUUUCCUUUUUCAGAAUCAAUUUUUCUGUUUUCUUUUUGUCUUGUUGUUCAAAACUAUUUCCAAUGAGCAUUUAUACUCAGACCACAUUUUCUUGCCAGUUUUAUUUAUUUGAAUAUACCAAGCCUAAAGAUGGAGACUAAGCUUCCUGACAUUGCUCCCUUUAUUCUCAUGGUGUUGAAAACUAAUACUGAGAACCUGAAAGGAUGGAUCAGGGCUGCUACUGAGGGAGUGGAUUGCUGAUGUGACAGAAACAGCUGCAUAUGAAAAGAUGAUAUAUGGAAUAGAAAGUAAGUCAGAUGAAUUUGAAGGUAUUUGUAAUCUAUUCUUCAGCUGCAACAGAAGAGAUGUCCUGAAAUAUGAUAGAAGAUAGCGGAGAGAGGUUGAAGGGUGAAUGAAAGCUUUUGUUUCAAAAGGUAAUAAUAAUAAUGUAUCUCCUUGCUUUCCUGUUGCCUACUUUUCUUUUUCCUUUGUUUUUCUUCCUCCCUGGGAGAUAGGGAUGGGCUGCAAUUAUACCUGAAAAAGGAGUGAAAGUCAUAUAAAUUUUUAUGUACAUAUGUUCUAUUUGCAAAAAGACAGACUCAGAAUCUGAUGAAGAAGAGCAAUAAGAAGACAAAUGGGCAUGUGAAAAUCCAUCCCAGGCAGUAGAUGUAUGCAACUUUCUAGAAUCACGUGGUGAGGGGAGUGUGCAUUAAAUUUCUGUUUUUUGGUUGAUCAGAUACAGGUGUAGCAAUUACCACAAACCGAUGUCAUUAAUUGUAAUGUUCUGUAGGAGUAAUCAAUGAACUCUGUUUCCUGAAAACAGUUUCACCUUUCUGCUAUUAGUACUGUAAUGAAGAGGGUGCAGUAUAUACUUACAUAAAGAACUUAGAAUCUAUUAGCACCUGUGCUGAACAGUAAAGCUGCCGAUACUUUGCAUGCAAAUUGUAGUCAUCAUCUGAGAAGAAGCAGAGUUCAUAGGUUCAGUAUUCUCUCACUUUCAGUCUCCUAUGUCAGCUGUGUCUUAACCAGCUGGGGGCAGAAUUACAUUCUGGAAAUUAUUGAGAAAAAAAGGUUAAAAUUGAAAAUAUACUAUUUCUGUAUCUAGCCUUGUAUAAGACAGUACAAAAAAUCCCAGCAAGUAUAAAUGAUGUCUGAUUUCACAUUAUAAAGUGUCAGUGCUCGAGUAGGUUUGCAUUUGACAGGUGAUUUAAAUACUUCAAUACAUUUCUAUAACUGUAAGAAAAAAUCUUUAUCAGGAUUAAAAACUUGACGGAACUAUUCAUUUCUGUACUGUUGCAAGAAUCAUUACUACUCUUUUUGACAUGCAGAUGUAUGAGGCACUGUAUUCAUCUUCAUAAUUUAUCUAAAUAUUUCAUUGUUUGAGAAUAUUUUAAUGACUGCUCGUUUAUGUUGUUUUUACUAUAUUUAUCUUUUAUACUUGUUCCUGAAUGCUAUGCUCUGAGUUCAUACCUGAUUAUGACAGGUACUAUCUUAACAUUAUGCUGAAAUAAACGUAUCUCUUUUUCUCUUUUAUUGAGCUUA